GAAGUGUUUUCUGUGCUGGGCCGUGUACAAGUCUCUUGGAAUAGAGCGUCAUAGAGGGUGAGAAUCCCGUCUUUGACACGGACAUCCAGUGCUCUGUGAUGCACUCUCAAAGAGUCGAGUUGUUUGGGAAUGCAGCUCAAAAUGGGUGGUAAAUUCCAUCUAAAGCUAAAUAUUGGCAAGAGACCGAUAGCGAACAAGUACCGUGAGGGAAAGAUGAAAAGAACUUUGGAAAGAGAGUUAAACAGUACGUGAAAUUGUUGAAAGGGAAACGCUUGAAGUCAGUCGCGUCUAGCAAGGAUCAGCCUUUCUCGGAAGGUGUAUUUCUUGCUUGACGGGUCAACAUCAAUUUUGACUACUGGAAAAAGGCCAGAGGAAGGUGGCA
rnacentral:rRNA from 1 species